GCUUAAUGUGCUGGCUAGAACUUGCGGUAUUCUGUUGAAUAGCAGUGAAAACUGUGAAGUGAGUUCCUGGUGGAUCCCAAACUAUUCACUUGCCUCUCCCAAGGAAGAAAACUAUGAGCUCCAUUGACUGAUCCCCUUCUCUUUAAUCAUCACUUCAGUUGUCUCUAAUUAUCCUGUUUUGCAUUAUACUUGCCUUGUAAAGCUGUUUUGAAUCAUUUAGCUUAGGAGAAAAUGGGGUUUGAAUCAAAAAUUAUUACCUGCAUAACUACACAAUAUAUUUGAAAUGGAAAAUGAGUGAAACUUCACAUUUUUCAGAGUUGUUAAGCAGAGAAAUAUCCUAUGAGUUAUGAAAUUGUAUUGAGGUGAGAAUGCUAAUGAGGUACUGAGAUGCUGUAUUGUUUGCUAAGGCUGCCUUUACAAAGUACAGGCAUACCUCAUAUUCUCGCACUUUGCUUCGUUGCACUUCACAAAUACUUCAAUUUUCAGAAAUUAAAGUUUUGUGGCAACCUUGUAUGGAGCAAGCCUGUGAGUGCCAUUUUUUCAACAGCAUGUGCUCACUUUUGUAUGUAUGCAUAUUGUUUUUUAGACCUAAUCCUAUCAGACAUUUAAUAGACUACAGUAUAGUGUAAACAGAAUGUUUAUA
rnacentral:lncRNA from 1 species